rnacentral:rRNA from 1 species
UACGAAGGGUGCAAGCGUUACUCGGAAUUACUGGGCGUAAAGCGUGCGUAGGUGGUUUGUUAAGUCUGUCGUGAAAGCCCUGGGCUCAACCUGGGAACUGCGAUGGAAACUGGCUAACUAGAAUGUGGUAGAGGGUAGCGGAAUUCCUGGUGUAGCAGUGAAAUGCGUAGAUAUCAGGAGGAACAUCCAUGGCGAAGGCAGCUACCUGGGCCAACAUUGACACUGAGGCACGAAAGCGUGGGGCAGCAAACAGG